rnacentral:rRNA from 1 species
CGUACUUUUUGUAGAACGGACCGGCGAGUUACGUUAUGCAGCAAGGUUAAGAACUGAAGGUUCGGAGCCGAAGCGAAAGCGAGUCUGAAUAGGGCGAUAGUUGCAUGACGUAGACCCGAAACCGGGUGACCUAUCCAUGAGCAGGUUGAAGUGGAGGUAAAGCUCCAUGGAGGACCGAACCAGACGUCUGUUGAAAAAGGCGGGGAUGACUUGUGGAUAGGGGAGAAAUUCCAAUCGAACCCGGAGAUAGCUGGUUCUCCUCGAAAUAGCUUUAGGGCUAGCCUCAUGGAUCAUUGAUGGGGGUAGAGCACUGAAUGUGCGCGGGGGCCACAAAGCCUACCAAACGCUAUCAAACUUCGAAUACCAUACAAUGCAGACCAUGGGAGUCAGUCCGCGAGAGAUAAGUUCCGCGGGCAAAAGGGGAACACCCCAGAUCAACCGCUAAGGUCCCCAAGUUCACGUUAAGUGGAGAAGGAUGUGGAAUUGCACAGACAACCAGGAUGUUGGCUCAGAAGCAGCCACACAUUUAAAGAGUGCGUAAUAGCUCACUGGUCGAGUGAUUGUGCGCCGAAGAUGUCCGGGGCUAAACGUGACACCGAAGCGAUGGGUGCAUCUGAAAGGAUGCGCGGUAGAGGAGCAAUGUGCAGAGGCAGAAGCCGUAUCGAGAGGCACGGUGGACACUGCACAAGAGAGAAUGCCGGUAUGAGUAGCGAGAGGCAUGCGAGAAACAUGCCCGUCGAAAGCCCAAGGUUUCCUGGGGAAGGUUCAUCCGCCCAGGGUAAGUCGGGGCCUAAGCCGAGGACGGAAGUCGUAGGCGAUGGACAGCAGGUGUAGAUUCCUGCACUACCGAUGGAAUGAAGCAGUGACACAGAAGGAUAACUCGAGCAGGGUGAUGGUCAACCCUGUGCAAGCAUUGAGGUUGGGUUGUAGUGAAGUACGCAAUCCUAUAAGCUGAGAUGUGAUGCGGACCGAAAUUUCAGUAGGGAAGCGAGUGAGUUCACGCUGGCGAGAAAAGCUGCUAGUAUAUCCAAAGGUACCCGUACCGGAAACCGACGCAGGUGGGCGAGGAGAGAAUCCUGAGACGAACGGGAGAACCCUUGUUAAGGAACUCGGCAAAAUGCCCCCGUAACUUCGGGAUAAGGGGUGCCUGCGAGAGCAGGCCGCAGAGAAUAGUCACAAGCGACUGUUUAGCAAAAACACAGGUAUCUGCGAAAGCGAGAGCUGACGUAUAGGUGCUGACACCUGCCCGGUGCUGGAAGGUUAAGGGAACAUGUUAGAGCAAUCGAAGCAUCGAACCGAAGCCCCAGUAAACGGCGGCCGUAACUAUAACGGUCCUAAGGUAGCGAAAUUCCUUGUCGGGUAAGUUCCGACCCGCACGAAUGGUGUAACGACUUGUGAGCUGUCUCAACAGGGGGCCCGGUGAAAUUGAAGUAUGGGUGAAGAUGCCCAUUACCCGCGACUGGACGGAAAGACCCCGUAGAGCUUUACUGCAGCCUGAUAUUGAGUUUCGGUAACUGAUGCACAGGAUAGGUGGGAGUCUGAGAGACACGGGUUUCGGCUCGUGUGGAGACGGUGUUGGGAUACCACUCUUCGGUUACUGAAAUUCUAACAUAGCUCUGUGAAACCAGAGGAUGGACAGUGUCAGGUGGACAGUUUGACUGGGGCGGUCGCCUCCGAAAGAGUAACGGAGGCGCCCAAAGGUACCCUCAGAAUGGAUGGAAACCAUUCGAAGAGCGCAAAGGCAGAAGGGUGCCUGACUGCGAGAUUGACAAAUCGAGCAGAGACGAAAGUCGGGCUUAGUGAUCCGGCGGUAUUGAGUGGAAAAGCCGUCGCUU